AUGGUCAUAUCACGUUGAAACACCGUUUCUUGUACAAUCACCGAAGUUAAGCAACAUCGAGGCUGGUCAGUACCUAUAUGGGUAAUCACAUGGGAAUACCAGAUGCUG